ensembl:lncRNA
UUUCCUUGGAUCCUGGUUAAGUCCUAUCUCAGGGAGCUGGACCAUGAGACCAGAGCAAAGUCACCCCUACCCUGUGCCCGGCACCCAGAAGAAAGAAAGAGUGCCUGGGACCCAUCCUGAGCUGCCCGGGCCUCUAAUGAGUUUGGAGUCAAGCUGGAGAAAGGAGACAGAACAAUAGUGACAAGUAAAUGACAGUGUCCAGUUAUGAAUGAGAUUGGACAGAAAACAAAGAGAAAGAUCACAAGGCUCUGUCUCCAGAUUUCCAAGUGCCCUGGCUGCGAGCCGAUCGUUAGACUAGACAGGCCUGAUUGGGCCUUGAGGGAUGGGUGAGAUACGAACCUACAGGAGGGGCAGGGGGUGGCCCCUCUUGUAAGAAGCCACAGGAAGGCUGGCUGCUCAGCUGCCUUCUGGCUUUGCCUUGAGAUGGCAGGACUGAUGGGAGAGCCUCUCGCAUCCUAAGAAGCACCUCUGAAUCCUCUGAAACAAAAUAUUGCUGCAACAAUUGCAGUAGUAGAUGUUCUUUUAAGUCCUGUUCCACCUGGAGGCCUUUCUAGGAUUUUCUACUGUAGCUUCUUGACCAUUUAGAGCUUCUGGCCCCUUUCUCAAAAGUUUGUACACCUGCUUAAUCCCAAGGGCUGUGGGCUCUCUGAGAUCUACUCACAGGCCUUGGGAGGCAGUCCCAGUUGGCGUAAGUCGCCUUCUAGAACUUGUAAUUGAUGUGGUACCCAUUCUUUUCCAGGCUUGGGGGUUCAGGGGUGCUUGUCAAGAUGCUGUCAGCAGGGAUUUCCUCCAGAUCUUAAGCAAAGAAAGCAAAUUUGUCUCACAAGACCCUGAUGCUGGGGGAGAGACAGCCCUGCCCCUCCAAGGCCACCCUGCAGGCUUUGUCUACCAGGCACUUCCUCCUCUCUCCCAGGAAGCACGUGUGACUCUAACACUCCCUUGCGCUCCCACGUUGCCUCUUGGAGAUUCUGGGGGAGAAGGCGGUUUUGACUUCUGUGAUUCGAAGAUGCUCUCCCAAACAGCAGAAGGAUGUUGCUUGGCUGGCAGUGGGCACACAUGCUGGCCACUGCCCAGAUCCCCUGGCUGUAGGGUGCCAGGGCUGGGAGAGUCCUCCCACACCCCUGAGCACCACGGCAUUCAUGGGGAGACUGAGGCACAGACAGGCUGUGCAUUCCCAGCUUGCUCUGCUUGCUCCUGGACCAAGUAUCCAACCUGGAAAGUCCUCCCAGUGGAAAUAGGCAUUCUCUCAGCCUCCCAGCGCAGGGAGAAAUAGGAAAGGGCCCUUCUUAGAGGCAGCACAGUGCUUGGCACAUGGAAAGCACCUGGUUAACUUUGCUAAAGAAAAAUGAUUCUCCAAAGCCCCUUAGCGAGGGCCCUCCCACUCAACCUCUCCUUUCCUCAGAAGCCUGGCCUCCACUAGAGGCCAUUCUCUCUGGAGCAGGAUGCUGCUUUGUCCUCAGAGCUGUGCUUCCCAGGUGAGUACCACUCCCCUCCACUGGAUACAGACAAAGAGUCUGCAUCCUCACAGCCUAGCAUGGUGCCUGGCCCCGUCGGACUCCCAACAAAACAUGUGUUCCCUCCCUUCCAGUGGGAAAGAGCCUCUUUUUCCUUCUGGAAGCAGACUACCUGGAAAUGAAUUUAAGUUUUUGAAAACUGCU